UACGUAGGGGGCAAGCGUUGUCCGGAAUUAUUGGGCGUAAAGAGCGCGUAGGCGGUCCGAUAAGUCGGCUGUGAAAGUCAAGGGCUCAACCCUUGAAAGCCGGCCGAUACUGUCGGACUAGAGUCCGGAAGAGGCAAGUGGAAUUCCCGGUGUAGCGGUGAAAUGCGCAGAUAUCGGGAGGAACACCAAUGGCGAAGGCAGCUUGCUGGCGCAUUCCUGACACUGAGGCGCGAGAGCGUGGGGAGCGAACAGG
rnacentral:rRNA from 1 species